GUAAGAACUAGGGUUACAAUUUGCGUUAGUUUUAGGGUUAAGGUUUAGGGCUAUUGAGCGAAUCCCUGCCAGGAGAUGCAGAUCCACAUCCGCCAGCCACAAUCCGCACCCCACAGCGCGGCUGCAGGCCCAUCCGCCAGCAGCAAACAUGACUGGGUCCCACUAGCCUCUGAGAUGCAGCUUGGCAGGAAGAAGUCUUUAGCCAAGCCUUCAUGAAAUAGCGAGCUGGGAGCUGAAGCCAACCGGGGAUGGACCAGUCCCACCCCUCCCUUCAGACACUCCAGCAAGGAGCCUGGGGCCCGCCAUAGCAGAGAGGUGAUGUCAUCGGAGUUCUGCUGAUGGAAUUCCUUCCCAGCAGAAUCCACUUUAACAGGUGUGUGACUCCCUCCCCAUCCACAUACAAGCAGCCAGGAAACUUCAUGGACUUCUCAUGGGUCAUGUCAGUAGGGAAGCAGAGGGGAUCCCCGACCCCCAACCCCCCAUAUCACCAGUGGUGACUCCCAAGGUCUUAGCUGCCAGUUUACCACAGCACUGGGGCUUAAAUGGGACAUGCGGUGGGGCUGCAAGUGUAACUAGAUCUCUGGGAAACCGCUUCUGGUGAACAGGACGUGGCUGGCUGGCUGACAGGAGGAAGGGGGGUAAGGGCCUGAGUAGUGAAAUGGCUCUGGACUGACAAGUCUGAGAGACUCCCAGGAGACACCUUACAGGGAUUGCUAUGGGCAGGUAGAGAGCACAAGCUCUGUUCGGACGGCACAGCUCCGCCUACUGAAAGAGAAGAAAAUGGAUCUCGAAGACUUCAAUUUUUUUUCUUCUUCUCUCUCUGUUACUUUCUCCCCCUUUCCUUCUCUCUUUCUUUCCCAUUUCAAGUUUAAUUGUUCAUUUCAUUCUCCUCUAAUCUCUCUCUCCUUCUUUCUUUUUAAGAGCACCUUCAUUCCCCUACCCCCCAACUUUCAUCCCAAGCAUCAUGUCUUCCAUUAUGUAUAAUUGUCUAAAUGCAAAUAGGUGAAUGUCUCGAGGCUGUCAAUAGGGCUCCUAAAUACCUAGCUACUGCCAACACCCUAAUCCAAUUGCCUGUUAGAAUCCACCUUCAGUAGAGCAAUCUUCUAAAGUAGCCAAGACAUACUAAUCCUCGUACCAUCAUAGCACCUAACCUAAACAUAUAAUCUUAAGAACAAACAACAAAUCACUAUAUACAUACAGAACCUGGAAACCUUUUAUGAAUUGAAUGAAUCAGCUCUAAAGUACAAUAAAGCCCAACAUUUCUAGACAUCAUCUCCCACCACAAAGGAGAGACAACAGAGAUAUACAAAGCCAAAACAAAUGUAUAGGUGAAAGCAGUUACAAAGCAGUCAAACAGAGCUGGAAAGUAACGUGAACAACAUGAAAAAACAAGGGAAAAAAGGACUAAAACAAUGCAGGACAACUUAAAUCUACAGGAGGACCGAGAAGCAUCAGAAACAUGGUCAGGGAAAGAAAUCAAGGCAUACCUAACUCAGAUGGAACGGAAUUUUAGAGAAGACAUGAGACAGCAAGUCCAAGCAUUGAAAGUAUAUUUUGAAAAUGAACUAAACAAACAAAUUCAAACUGCAAAGAACGAGCUUUACCAAGAGAUAGAGAUUUAAAAAAAAAAAAAAAACAGUAAUCAUAGAAAUGCAAGAAACCGUAAACCAGAUUAAAAACUCUAACGAGAAUAUUACAAAUAGACUAGAUCAAGUAGAAGUCAGAACAUCAGAUAAUGAAGACAAAGUUUAUCAACUUGAAAAGAAUAUAGUCAACACAGAAAAGAUGCUUAAAUCUCAUGAGCAAUCUAUCCAAGAGAUAUGGGAUCUCAUAAAAAAACCAAAUUUGAGAGUCAUUGGGAUAGAAGAAGGCACAGAGGAUCAAACCAAAGGAAUGGACAACUUAUUAAAUGAAAUAAUCCUAGAAAACUUCCCAGAGAUGAAAGAUGGAAUGGAUUGCCAAAUCCUGGAAGCCUACAGGACCCCAAACAUCCAAAACCAUAAUAGACCAACUCCAAGACAUAUAAUUAUGAAGAUAGCUAACAUACAGAACAAGGAGAGAAUAUUAAAAGCUACGAGAGAAAGGAGGCAGAUUACAUUCAGGGGUAAACCAAUUAGGUUAACGACUGAUUUUUCAUCACAGACUUUGAAAGCGAGAAGAUCCUGGAACAACGUAUUUCAAACGCUGAAAAAUAAUGGAUUCCAACCAAGAAUACUGUAUCCAGCAAAAUUAAGCUUCAGAUUUGACAAUGAAAUUAAAAUCUUUCACGAUAAACAAAAG
rnacentral:lncRNA from 1 species